AGCGUACACGGUGGAUGCCCUGGCAGUCAGAGGCGAUGAAGGACGUGCUAAUCUGCGAUAAGCGUCGGUAAGGUGAUAUGAACCGUUAUAACCGGCGAUUUCCGAAUGGGGAAACCCAGUGUGUUUCGACACACUAUCAUUAACUGAAUCCAUAGGUUAAUGAGGCGAACCGGGGGAACUGAAACAUCUAAGUACCCCGAGGAAAAGAAAUCAACCGAGAUUCCCCCAGUAGCGGCGAGCGAACGGGGAGCAGCCCAGAGCCUGAAUCAGUGUGUGUGUUAGUGGAAGCGUCUGGAAAGGCGCGCGAUACAGGGUGACAGCCCCGUACACAAAAAUGCACAUGCUGUGAGCUCGAUGAGUAGGGCGGGACACGUGGUAUCCUGUCUGAAUAUGGGGGGACCAUCCUCCAAGGCUAAAUACUCCUGACUGACCGAUAGUGAACCAGUACCGUGAGGGAAAGGCGAAAAGAACCCCGGCGAGGGGAGUGAAAAAGAACCUGAAACCGUGUACGUACAAGCAGUGGGAGCACGCUUAGGCGUGUGACUGCGUACCUUUUGUAUAAUGGGUCAGCGACUUAUAUUCUGUAGCAAGGUUAACCGAAUAGGGGAGCCGAAGGGAAACCGAGUCUUAACUGGGCGUUAAGUUGCAGGGUAUAGACCCGAAACCCGGUGAUCUAGCCAUGGGCAGGUUGAAGGUUGGGUAACACUAACUGGAGGACCGAACCGACUAAUGUUGAAAAAUUAGCGGAUGACUUGUGGCUGGGGGUGAAAGGCCAAUCAAACCGGGAGAUAGCUGGUUCUCCCCGAAAGCUAUUUAGGUAGCGCCUCGUGAAUUCAUCUCCGGGGGUAGAGCACUGUUUCGGCAAGGGGGUCAUCCCGACUUACCAACCCGAUGCAAACUGCGAAUACCGGAGAAUGUUAUCACGGGAGACACACGGCGGGUGCUAACGUCCGUCGUGAAGAGGGAAACAACCCAGACCGCCAGCUAAGGUCCCAAAGUCAUGGUUAAGUGGGAAACGAUGUGGGAAGGCCCAGACAGCCAGGAUGUUGGCUUAGAAGCAGCCAUCAUUUAAAGAAAGCGUAAUAGCUCACUGGUCGAGUCGGCCUGCGCGGAAGAUGUAACGGGGCUAAACCAUGCACCGAAGCUGCGGCAGCGACGCUGAUGCGUUGUUGGGUAGGGGAGCGUUCUGUAAGCCUGCGAAGGUGUGCUGUGAGGCAUGCUGGAGGUAUCAGAAGUGCGAAUGCUGACAUAAGUAACGAUAAAGCGGGUGAAAAGCCCGCUCGCCGGAAGACCAAGGGUUCCUGUCCAACGUUAAUCGGGGCAGGGUGAGUCGACCCCUAAGGCGAGGCCGAAAGGCGUAGUCGAUGGGAAACAGGUUAAUAUUCCUGUACUUGGUGUUACUGCGAAGGGGGGACGGAGAAGGCUAUGUUGGCCGGGCGACGGUUGUCCCGGUUUAAGCGUGUAGGCUGGUUUUCCAGGCAAAUCCGGAAAAUCAAGGCUGAGGCGUGAUGACGAGGCACUACGGUGCUGAAGCAACAAAUGCCCUGCUUCCAGGAAAAGCCUCUAAGCAUCAGGUAACAUCAAAUCGUACCCCAAACCGACACAGGUGGUCAGGUAGAGAAUACCAAGGCGCUUGAGAGAACUCGGGUGAAGGAACUAGGCAAAAUGGUGCCGUAACUUCGGGAGAAGGCACGCUGAUAUGUAGGUGAAGCGACUUGCUCGUGGAGCUGAAAUCAGUCGAAGAUACCAGCUGGCUGCAACUGUUUAUUAAAAACACAGCACUGUGCAAACACGAAAGUGGACGUAUACGGUGUGACGCCUGCCCGGUGCCGGAAGGUUAAUUGAUGGGGUCAGCGCAAGCGAAGCUCUUGAUCGAAGCCCCGGUAAACGGCGGCCGUAACUAUAACGGUCCUAAGGUAGCGAAAUUCCUUGUCGGGUAAGUUCCGACCUGCACGAAUGGCGUAAUGAUGGCCAGGCUGUCUCCACCCGAGACUCAGUGAAAUUGAACUCGCUGUGAAGAUGCAGUGUACCCGCGGCAAGACGGAAAGACCCCGUGAACCUUUACUAUAGCUUGACACUGAACAUUGAGCCUUGAUGUGUAGGAUAGGUGGGAGGCUUGGAAGUGUGGACGCCAGUCUGCAUGGAGCCGACCUUGAAAUACCACCCUUUAAUGUUUGAUGUUCUAACGUGGACCCGUAAUCCGGGUUGCGGACAGUGUCUGGUGGGUAGUUUGACUGGGGCGGUCUCCUCCUAAAGAGUAACGGAGGAGCACGAAGGUUGGCUAAUCCUGGUCGGACAUCAGGAGGUUAGUGCAAUGGCAUAAGCCAGCUUGACUGCGAGCGUGACGGCGCGAGCAGGUGCGAAAGCAGGUCAUAGUGAUCCGGUGGUUCUGAAUGGAAGGGCCAUCGCUCAACGGAUAAAAGGUACUCCGGGGAUAACAGGCUGAUACCGCCCAAGAGUUCAUAUCGACGGCGGUGUUUGGCACCUCGAUGUCGGCUCAUCACAUCCUGGGGCUGAAGUAGGUCCCAAGGGUAUGGCUGUUCGCCAUUUAAAGUGGUACGCGAGCUGGGUUUAGAACGUCGUGAGACAGUUCGGUCCCUAUCUGCCGUGGGCGCUGGAGAACUGAGGGGGGCUGCUCCUAGUACGAGAGGACCGGAGUGGACGCAUCACUGGUGUUCGGGUUGUCAUGCCAAUGGCACUGCCCGGUAGCUAAAUGCGGAAGAGAUAAGUGCUGAAAGCAUCUAAGCACGAAACUUGCCCCGAGAUGAGUUCUCCCUGACUCCUUGA
rnacentral:rRNA from 1 species